CUUUUAAAGAUGGAUGAGGCCUCGGUUCAAUGAGGGCCCCAGGCAGGGGACGGCCACACCCAGGUUUUUGGAGGGGCCGGGGAGGGCGCGUUCGGGGAUGGCACUGGGAGUGGGCAGGGCUGACGCCCCUUUGCCCCCAGCCCGGUCUUCCUCUACGGCGACUUCGCCGCGGGGCAGUGCGGGGAGGCGCUCAGUGUAGAGCUCGUGGGGGCCUCCGCUGACAGCGGGGCAGGGACUGGGAGAAGGGCGGCGGCGGAGCAGGUCGCGGGCUGGUGCGGGGCCUGGGGGCACUGCCGAGCCUACACUGCGGCGGCCGCGGCGGCGGCGGCAGCGCGACAAGUUGCCAUGGCCCGGCUGCCGCAGCUGCCCUCCCAAGGGUCUCGUUAGCUCUGCUUGGCCGGCCACCGCCGACUCGGCCCUAGGGACCCCGGCGACCUAGCAAACAGCCGAUCCGCCGGGCGCUGACGAGGCUCGGGGGAAGAGGGCGGCAGUCCAGAUGGCGCGCAAGUGAGUGCCAGGCCGCGAGGAUUUGCCGCCGGGACCCAGGGCGCACUAGCUAGGUGCGCCGCCCACCCGCGGCCUCACGGGGGCGCCCGAGUCCACUGAAUGAGCCCGGCGGGGCCGACAGCAGCAGUCGAGCGCGGGUGCGCCACUCUGACCGCCGCUCGCUGGUCUCAUUGCCGGGGCCUGAGCGGGGGCUGGGGUGGGUGCCAACGAGGAAAGCACAGUUGAUCUGCAAGUUAGUGGGCGGGGAGCCAGUAGGGAGGGACUGCGGAGCCGCGCUGGUCCUGAUUCUUCCUCACUCAGCUAUUUUAAUAGCAAUGAAAUCUUGAAGGAGUGCUCUGAGGCUGAUAGAGCUGUAGGAAAAGGUCUUGGGCGUUCAGAUUUUUGGAUGCUUCGUAUUUUUCAACUUUAUUAUCUGGCAACAGUCUUUAAAACUCAAUGACCAAUUCCAGUUCUAGCCUUAAACCCAAUUAAUCCUUAACUAUGAAAGCAGCAUCCUAAAGUCUACUUUCACUUGUUAGCGGCAUCUGUGGAAGUAGCCGAGGGUCUCAGGCAGUGCAGUAGCUCUCUGAAUAGCCUCUCUUUCCUGAGAAAGGGAGCCUCAGCUGCUGUGCCCACCAGGCCUGGUGGGAGCGUGCGCUCACUGCGUAAUAGAGCAGGGCUGUGCUUGUGAGGUCCCUUUGGCCCAAACUGUGCAGGAUCUGCUGCCUGCCUUUCCUUUUUGUUGUAUCGUUAUUGCUUUGGCCCAGAAAGCUCUGAUGCUACCUGCCUGCAAAUAGCUCAUCUUUACUCAAUACCCGGGUCCUCACCCCUUUAUACUGUGCCCCCUCUGGACUGUGAUGCCUGAUGCUUGUGUGGUCAGAUUGCAUUGACAAGAGAUCUCUUCCUUGUCUUAUAAGGGCACUAAUCCCAUCAGGAGGGUCCCACCCUCUUGACCUAGUCUAAACCUAAUUACCUCCCAAAGGCCCCACCUCCUAAUACCUCAUUGGGGGUUCUGGCUUCAGCAUAGGAAUUUGGGGGGGCACAGAAGACUUUAAUCCACAAGAGAUGGGUUCCUGACAGUAGUAACCACUCCCCAUCCACCCCUGAGUGCUGGUAGUCAGGGUCACGUUAGACUGGAGUGGUAUAGAGAAGACUUCACCACUCUGUAGAAAAAGGCAAGAAGUCUUAACUGAAAGGGAAGUUUCUGGUCCCUUUUUCAAAAUUACCUCCCUGGCUCUUUAAAAUGCUGUAUUUUAUAAAAUGUUUUCGAUUUCCCUUUCAGAUGUGCAGGCCAACCUCAAGGUGUGGGUUGCUUAGAUUACAAAGGAACUUGAAUUCUUUCAUGUUUUUGUUUAAAGUAUCACUAUCAUCAUCUAAAGCCAAGAUUGGCUGCUUUGAGGACCUUUUCUGAACCGUGUACUAGGAUAAUAACUCUGAAGGAGACUGUUCUUGGAAAAGGCUGAUGUUGGGACCUUGCUAGCCAUUUUGGAAUUAGGGAAUGAGGUGUAUUGGCAUGAGCAGCAGCACUUUUGUGGCUGUCAGGCAGAGAUUUUCUUUUCUUUUUUCCUUUAUAAGUCACCCAACCCAAAUUGUUAUCAGGCAGAUAUUUUUAUAGGGGUAGUGGGAGGCAGUUCCCAAGUCCCCUGUCCCUCUCUGCACCUAGUCUACCCUCUAAGAUUGCAACCAUCAUAGCAUCUUCUUACACAUUACAAUGCAGUAAACUUGGGCACAUUGAGCACCAGUCAUGGCCGCUGUGUUCCUGAAGGUACAGAAGUGGCACUGGGGCCAGGCUGCUGUCUGGAAAAUGUUAGCCACUUUGGUGGUACUGCCCUUCCGACACCGCCUCCUCACCUCCCCCACCCCUACACACAAAAAACAAGACAAGUAGAGCAAACAAACCACUUCUCCAGGUAGACAGACCUGCAGGUCUGCUCAUGGUGACCCUCUCUUUAGCCUGCAUUGUUUCCAAGGCCUUCAGCUGGCCUAUUGUUUGCUAAGGGCCCACACCUUGGCAGGAGCUGAAAAGAGAGGAUUUCCUUUUGCUCAGGGGAGGAGGGUCUGUCCUGGGUUUGCAGAGAUAGGCUUCUUGUCUAUGCUGCUGAAGAAAACAAACUAGACAGGAGUCAGAUGUGGGCUCUACCUUCUUGCUCAGUCUCUAAUUCACUGUGGCCUUGGGCAGAUCAGUUCUCCAUCCUUAUUAGUAUCUUGGGUGGAAUACUCCUUAAGGAAUCUUUCAAGUAUUGAGUGCCCCCAUGCCCCCACCACCUUCCACAACCAGGCCUAGGUGAGGCAGGAAGGAAGAAAAGAAAGUCUGGGUGCAGAGUGUGUAGUAUGCCUCACAGUACAGCCUGCAGGAAGGCCUUGGAUAAGAAAGGCUGAGUGAUAUUCCAGGGGGUGGGACAGAACAGAGUGUGGUUUGGGUGGGAAGAUGACCUGGUGAACCUCAGGUUCUCUCAAGGCUUUACAGAGGUGGGAGCAGGGCCAUGGGUAGGCUGGCUACAGUAUCCCUGCUGAAAGGGAAUACUUGUUGGUACAAACUCAGCUCUUGGGGCAAGGAUCAUAUGAACUUGCGGUCAUGAAAGUGUAAGUAGGGUAGAAAUAUGAGGAAGGGAGAGGCACUUGGUCAUGGCCAAGGCUGGAGUGUCAUUAAUGUGUGGGGGUUGAGGAAGCAGGUCACAGGAUUGUUGGAUGGCUCAUUCUACAGUCUUGUGCCCUGGGAGCCCCUCAUGUGGGAGACAGGUGGUGGAUGUCAGGAAGAGCUAGAGGUGGGAAGGGUAGGCUUGAUAUUUAGACUAUGUGUCAAGUAGGGCAGGGCCAGUUACUGAAAUACCGAAACACUAGUUGUCAUUUGGAAAUGGCUGAGGCCCCAGGCUCCCUGAGGCCCCCAGCCACCUUGUCCUUGGAACCUUGCUGGUGCUCACUGGCCCAUACACUGUCUGCCCAGUGUAUUCCCUGGGCUCUGACCCCAGUCCCUAUGUGUCCUCUUGACCAGGGUAUGCACCUGGACGUCAGUGGGAAUUCACUUCCCCAGGGGAAGUGCUGGAAUCCCCAUAUACACUUCUGGCUCCUGAGGCUGUGUCUGCUGGAUGGUGCCUCCCCAGUGUCACUGUCCCGUGGUGGCUUGUGGGAACCCUGCCUGCACUGUGAACGGUAUCGGUCGUUAUGUAUGCUGACAAUCACCCCUGGUAAAGGAAGGGGACAGUAGGGUGAAGAAUUCUGUUUUGGGUGCCUGGCCGCUUUGCAGCGGGGACAGAGGGCAAGACCUGGCAGGCCUGCAGUCUUCCUCGGCUAUCGUGAAGAGGGUUGUGAGUGCCAAAUCCAUCCCAUAGGGAGAUCCCAGAGGAGACUCUGGCACCCCCUCUGCCAGAGGGCAGGCCCAUGAGUGCGGCCCUGCAGACCAACAGUUUCUUACCCUCCUUCCUUCGCGAGACCUGGCACAGCUGCCUGCCUCACUCCUGGGAGCCGAGUCCUACUGGGAGCUCGUUCCUGCCAAGGCUGGGAUCCAGUCCCCCUCUCCCCUCUGUGGGCACUUGGCAGGCCGAGGUCCCUGCUUCCCUCUGCCAGUUCCUGCCAAAGCUAAUCUCCCUGCGGCCUGUUCCUGGCAGUGGUUGCACGUGGGUAUCUCUGCUGGGCAGGCCUGCUUCCAUCACUGGCACGGACCCCAUUUCCCAAGAAUCCUUUUUGGGUGGCACAAUCCCAGGCAGAAUUCUCCCAGGAGGUUCCUGAGUGCCUCCCUUGCUGGUUCAGCACCUGAUCACGUUCCUGGAUUCCCCCUGAACUCCUCCAGUGUCUGCAGGAUGCUUUUCAGUUCACAAAGCACUUUCAUAUUAUAUCUCAUUAGAUGCUCAGCAGCCCCUCAAACAGCAAGUGGUGCCCUUGAGCCUGCAGGGCCCUGGAGUGGGCAGAUUUCCUGAACCAUCUGCUCUGACUCUGCCUUUGGGCCAGUGGAGAGGCCUUUGUGAGACCAAAUCUUCAGGUUCUCGGUGGGGCAGGUGGCAGUUCAGUAGGAGGUGGCCUCGGGCCUCCUCUUCUGGGGAAGGUGUCAGAGAGGGGUCAGGAGACUAUGUAGCCUCUUGUGGCCCCAGUCCCCUGAUCAAAAACCAAUAGGAAAAGUCUCUUAGAAGAGAAACAGCUUUUGGGUUAAUCUGUAGGGGCAGUGAGAAAGGGUUGGGGAGGUUGGGGCCCAGCUGGGCCACGUGGAUUCGAUCUUGGCUUAGAGUGGGCACAGGAAGCUAUGUGAUGAAGGGGAGCCCCUAGGGAGGAAUCUGGGUACAGGGGAUGGGGCUGGAAUCAGCUACCUGGUCCGUAAGUUGUGUUGUUAAAUUUGGAGAAAAACUGUUUUCCAAAAAUGGAGGUAAAUUGAAGUUUGUAAGAGCUGGUGAAUAAGCCAUGCCUCCUUGGUGGUUUGGAGCAAGACGUUUUCCACGCAGGCCAUUUCAUCAAGACUCAGUGGUAAUUUGGGAUUGCCUCAGCUCUCCCAGCUCGGCUGCCUGUUGCUGUCAGUGGGUCUGGGGGGCCUCAGGGCUGCAGAGGCUUGGUGGUGUGGGAGUCCUUCACCUGAGGGCUGACGUGCCUUUUGGGGGUCUGGAGCAUACUUCCAGGAGACAACCUCUCUUCCUCCUGUCACCUCUGCUCCUCCCUCAGCCUCCCUGUGUUCCUUUAAGCAGGGGGCAUGGGAAGAAUUUCUUCUGAAGCAACUGAUGUUCUAAAUUUGAGAGAGGGGAAUACCAUCAUGUGGCCUGAAGUUAGCAGCCCAGAGGCUGAGGGCUGUGGCUCUGGCAGGUGCUGGUGUCCAGGGUGCAAGGAAGACUCCAAUGUCCAGAGGACUCUCAUGAAGGUGACUGGGAGCAGACUGUGGUGGAGGUGACAGCUCAGGGAGGAAGAUGGGAUUGUCAGGACUCAGUUCUUUGCUGGAAGAGACUUCUCUUCCAUGGGGUGGUGAGUCCAAGUGAGACCUUGGUUCCUCUUCCUGGGUAGAAUCCUCCCUUCCAUUGGAAUUAUCCUAAAGGUCCACCCCACUGACUCCUAGCGGCCUCUUUCCUGGUAAGGAAGUCUGAUUGGCUUUUGGCUUGGCUAACCUGAGUCACUUCUUCCAGAGCUGUCCUCAUGCUGCAGCCACUGCUGUCCCACAGCAGCUGUGGGUCAUCCUUCAGCUACAGAUCCUCCCAUUUUCCUUGUCCCCCCAUCAGUGUGCGUGCACACUUCUGUGUAUGCAGGUUUGGGGUAGGCUUGGUCUGCAACUGCGGGGGCCAUGCGCAGUUGAGUUCAGUCUGGUCAUGCCACAGAAUUAUUUACACUGAAACCCUAAAACCCUCUAGCGAAAGGUUAGAUCUUUAAGUCAGACUUGUUUGGCAGGUCAGUGAGAUGACAGGGAGGUUUAAGACCUGAAUUGGGGGAUGGGGCACAAAGGAGUCGUGGCUGUUUCUGGAUCUAAGGCCUCUGUAGGGAGGUGAGAUCCAGACUGGGUAGAGGCUGGUGAUUCUUCUGGAGCCAACUCUGUGCCAGGCCCUAUUGUGGCUGUGGAGGAGCAUAGUUAAAACUCUGUGCUUUCCAGGACUUGAAGUCUGUGCACUGCCCUUACUACGAUAAACAAAGGAAUGAAAGUUCCUCUCCCAGGUCCAUGAUUCAGAGGGCUCUUAGGGGUAUGUGUGUAGGAGGCGGUUUGCUGCUCAUGCAGACAUUUGGAGAAACUCUGGUUCCAUCUCGUCACCCCCACACCAGCAUCCAGGAAGACAUAUGGGCAGACUGGUGCGGGCCAGCAGGUGUGGGGAUGCUUCUUUGCUGUGAGCUUCUGCCAGGUGUUAGAGAGGGAAAUCGAAGUGUCCAGCUGCCCCAGAGCUGGGAGUCCUUCAGAUUUACCAGAACUUUCUGAUUACAAAGACUUCCUGCUUAUUGUUUUGAUUCUUAGGAUUAUAAUCUUACUUUUGCUUUCCAUGCUCACAUCCCCAGUCUGAAUCUGGGGCUGCUUCUCACCACUGCCAGCCUCAAGGCAGAGAAGGCAGGCUCCUCUCCCAUUUGUGUUCCCUCUAAAUGGUUGCAUAGGUACUCGCUUGCAGAACCAUUACUACCAAUAGUGGAAAAAUGAGAUGGGGAGGGCAAUAUACUUUUAUUCUUAUUUUAUUUGAGACAGGUUCUCAUUAUGUCACCCACACCCAUGCUGGAGUGCAUUGGUGUGAUCACAGCUCCUGGGCUCAGGUGUUCCUCUUGCCUCAGGCAAUUUUUAAAAAAUUUCACACUUGAUUGGCCAAGAACCUCCCCUCCGACCCCCACAACAACCUACCCAGCAUUUACUCCUCAGUCUGAGGACACGUCCCUCACAUCAGCCCCUCUGCUGUCUUGAAAGGCUCACCUCCUGGAAGCUGGCUCCUCCCUGAUUCAGGGCCCAGCACAGCGUCGGAAAAAUGGAGCAGUGCUGCCCACUGUGUUCGAAGGCCUCCCUCCUCUGUUUUAUUCUGGGCCCCUUGGGCAGGGCUUACAUCAGAGCCAGUCCUCCUUGGCUGAUUCAAAGGGACAAACUCCUGGGUCAGUCCUGAGGACAAGGAAUAGUGAGUGGGUGAGGGAGGGGCUGGCAACAACUGGAGUGUGUCUGGCCACAAGCUAGACUGUGGCUGCAGCUGAUGGCCAUCAUCAAGCUGGCGCCAAAGCUGCCCUCCUGCCCAGGUUUCCAGAGAUUCUCUAGCUAGUUCUCUUCUCUGUUCUUUGGAAGAUUUACUGCCUUAUUCCACCGCUUUAGUGGUUAUCCUACAAUUUCCUACAUUUUUCUUUGACUUAAAUAAGUAAAAUCUUUACUCCUUUUCCUGAGCCAUUCAAGGAACUUGGGUUAUUUUAACUUUACUUUCCUCCUGCCUUACAUGAUUUUCUUUUAAAAACUUAAUUUUAUUUAUAAUUCCAGAGUUAUAGAAAAUUUGUAACAGUUGGUGUACAGUAUUUCCAUAUAUCCCCUCUCAAGUUCCAUAUAUAUUAAUAUUUAACUACAUAUACCUUAUAAUUCUUUCCCUCCCCAACAUCAUUUUUUUCUGAACUAUUUGAUACUGAUCUACAUAUAUGUGCUGUGUUACCCCUAAAUAUAUCCUUGUGUAUUUCCCAAGAUAUAAAAAUAUUCUCAUAAAAUUAUCACACAGUUAUCAAAAGCAGGUAAUUAAGAAGACACAAUGCUAUACUCUAAUUUACAAACCUUAUUCAAAUUUCACCGAAUGUCUUAGUUAUGUCUUUAUAGCCAGAGAAGGAAAAAAAUACAUAUUUUUCUUGUCUAGGAUUUAGUCUAGAAUCAUGUUACAUUUAGUCAUUUCUAGUCUUCUUUAAGCCGAUUUCUCUUGGUCUUUCUUUCACUUUUCUUUUUUGAGGGGUACAGGACAAUUAUUUUGUAGAAUGACCUUAUUUGGGUUUGUCUGAUGUUUCCUCAUGAUUAGAUUCCAGUUAUGUAUUUCUGGCAGAAAUGCCACAGAAGUGAUAUUGUGUCCUUCUCAGUGCAUUGUUAUCAGGAGGCACAUGAUGUUGGUUUUUGUCCCACUGCUGGAGAUAAUAACUUUGGUCACUUGGAUAAGGUGGUGUCUGCCAGGCUUUGUCUGCCAUUGCAAAGUUAAUAUUUUCAUUUGGUAAUUAAGCUUUGGGAAAUACUUUGAGAUGAUAUAAAUAUUCUGUUUCUCAUCAGACUUUACCCACUAAAUUUUAGCAUCCUUUGAUGAUUAGUGUUUGAGGUAUAAUGGUUGUAAAAUGGUGAAUUUUCUGCUUCCAUUAUUUCUCAUACAUUUAUUAGUUGUUACUCUACUGUAAGGAAGAGUUUACCUCCCUCCCUCCCAAUCCAUCCAUCCAUCCAUCCAUCCAUCCAUCCAUCCAUCCAUCCACCCGCCCAUCCAUCCAUCUACCUACCCACCCAUCUUCCAUUCAGUCAGUCUGGAUUCAUAGAUAUUUAUUUUAUUUAAUUAGUUAUGCUUUGUUACUAGCAUUGGUGAUUUUGAUGAUCAAAAUUAUCCCAGAUUAGUCCUGUGAGAGCUCCUCCAAGUUGAUUCUUGUGUCUUUUUGACACACUGCUAUUACUUUUUGAGCACUUCCUUACUUUCUGUUACUACAAGAUAUUCCAGGCUCAUCUUGUACUUUCCCGGCUCAAACUCUGUAAUCUGGUAUUUUUCUAAGAAACCCUGAUUCCUUUUAGCAGAGAAUUGUGUAUAAAAACAAACCAAGACCUGGAAUAGGUCUGUUCAUUGCCAGAGUGUUGUUAUUUUUAGGCCCUGUCAUACAUAUACACACAUGUGUGUGUAGUAUAUAUAUUAUGUAAAUAUGCACACACACACAUGCAAAUCCAUUCAUCUAUCUACCUACCUACUUACCUACCUAUCUUUCUUAAAAACCAUGAGUUCAUACUGAUAUGACCAGUUCCAAUCCAACACUCUAGAGUUCAUUUUAACCUUCUCUCUUUCCAUAUAUGUAAUUUCCUUCUCCAACCGUGAAAAACCUGGUUUCAGUUACCCACAGUAUAUUUACUUAUUUGCUUAAUCCUAGAAUACACAGAAUGUAGUUUCAGAAUUGUUAACUCAUGCUGGUGUGGGAAACAAAUCUAUUAAACAGAGUUCAAUAUUUGCUACUGUCUUUUUGCCCUAGCCUGAGAAUACAGAGGCAAAGUACUGCUUCAAAACUUCUGUUAUCACCCCCUACCCGUACUGUGUUUUGUCAUUCACUUAACCUACAGUUCGGUACACUUGCUUCCAUAUGUAUUCAAUGCUAAUGUUUCCUCCUUUUAUCCUUGUUGAUUGUAUUUACUGAAAAACUGAGUACAUGAAACAUUAACAUGGUUGUAAAAGUCAGAACAGAUCUGUACAAAAACAUGAACUCAGAGAAGUGUCACUGCCCUCCAUCUUCUCUACCUUGCUCCCACCAUCUUAUUCUUUUCACCCAUCAGGCUAAAAAAAGACAUCAGAGAAAAAUAUAUCCUAAUAUGUUGAGUUUAUUCGGGAGUAAGCAAAAGGAUUAUAAUCUGGGAAGCACAGCUGUAGCAAGCCAUAGGUACAGGUACAUCAAGCCAAAGGUAAAGGGAAAUUUUUACUGGCAAGGAGAAGCUAUGUAAGCUGCUUGGAGACAGAGUUCAUUGGUUCUGGAGGCUCAAAGCUAGAAUUAGCAUCAGUUCAUUGGUGGAGAUGCCACUGCUAGGCAUCGGCCUAGCAUCUUAUCAGAAUUGCUACAGUCCUAAAGAAUGUAUAGUGAUAAACCUGGUCAUAGAAAUAUGUGCAUGCAUGUAAAAUGUAAAAUGCAUGUAAAAUGUAGAUCAUGAAAAGCAUGAGAUGUAUAAAAGAUGAAGGAAUUUCUCGUGGAGUUAUUUUAGAAAGUCCUUGAAAUAGUCCUUAUCUCAGAUGUGCAAGCAUGAGCUGUGCUCCUUUGUGUGUUCUGGCUCCAGUUUGCUCGGGUCUGACAAAAGUGACUUAUUUUGCUAUCUGCAACUUUAGUCACUCCAUUUCCACCCACUCCUGUAUGGAACCAAUCUCAUUAGUUUCUGGGUUUCCUUUCCUAAGUUUCUUUUUGUAUAGUUGUGCAGACAAAUAUAUAUUUUCUUAUUCCCCUUUCUUUCUUGCACAAAACGUGGCAUACCAUAAACACUUUCUCACACUUUGCUUUUUAAAUUUAACAGCAUAUCUUGGGAGCCAUUCUAUAUCAGUUUAUAGAUGUCAUCCUCAUUCAUUUUUAUAGCUGCAGACUAUUCCAUUCGAUGAUGUACCAUAGUUCAUUCAACCAUUUUCCUAUGUAAAGUCAUUUUGGUUGUUUCUAAUAUUUUUCAAUUAUAAACAAUGCUACAAUGAAAAUCCUUAAACAUAUGUAUUUUUGUAUAUAUUUGAAUAUGUAUUACCAGGAUAAAUUAUAAAAAGGGGGAAAAGCAUGUGCCAUUUUGUUUGAUAUCAUCAAAUUCUCCCCCAUUAAGGUUGUACUAAUUUCCAUUCCCAUCAGAAAUGCUUGAGCAUCUACUUUCUUCAAGCCUUGCCAACAGAACGUGUUAGUGUAUGUUUACAUUUUUGCCAAUCUGCUAGGUGAGAGAUAAUAUCUCAGUGUUAUUUUAAUUUGCAUUUCUCUUAUUAUAGUUGAGGCUGAAUGUUUUUUCACAUGUUUACGGGACAUUUUAAUUCUUUUUUCAGUCAAUGGUCUGUUUAUGUCUUUGACUAUUUGACCAUUUUUAUAUCAGGUUUUUGAAACUUCUAUCGAGUAGAAAAAGUUAUUUAUAUAUUAGCGAUAUUACAUAUGUAUCUGUGUUAUAUAUUACCGAUCUUUUCUCUCAGUGUUUAAUUUAUUUUGGGAUUUUUUUUUUUUUUUCUGCGACAGAGUCUUGCUCUGUUGCCCAGGCUAGAGGGUAGUGGUACAGGCUCGGCUCACUGCAACCUCCCCCUCCCAGGUUCAAGCGAUUCUCCUGCCUCAGUCUUCUGAGUAGCUGGGAUUACAGGUGCCCGCCACCACGCCCGGCUAAUUUUUGAAUUUUUAGUAGAGACGGGGUUUCACCACGUUGGCCAGGCUGGUCUUAAACUCCUGACUUCAGGUGAUCUGCCUACCUUGGCCUCCCAAUGUGCUGGGAUUACAGGCGUGAGCCACAGCACCCGGCCAG
rnacentral:lncRNA from 1 species